AGAAUGAGGCAGUUGUUUAUGAAUGGGUCAUUGGAUGUUUGACUCAACUGAUUCAUUCAAAACGCUGAAUCAUUCAGACUAAUGAAAACAUGAUUGUGUUGUCGUGAAAUGCACUGUGGUUCUGCUGUGGUCUUUGUUUGGAACUAUUUUCGCUGCCAAAUAAGAACAAAAACAGUCAAUAUUGUGUCUAAAAUGAUAUUCAGGAAAACAGCAGUCUUGGUCGUGUUUAAUCGUUGCUUAGUGAAGUUAAUAAACGUAAUUUCGGGAGGAGUACGCCCAUCUAAUCUUCCAAUUAAUACCAAGCUGCUCUGUGGUUUACUCCAGCUGAACAGCCUUUUGGGUUCUUUACAAUCUGCCCCCCAGCUGCCUCAAUUAGAGUCACGAUCUUAUGGGCCAUCCCGCUCAAGGACAGAGCUGUCUCUCUCUCUCACUUUGUCUCUCUAACCAGCAGAUGGUUAAUGAUUCAUGGACAGGGUUGGUAGCUAUGCGCACGUGUUUUGGUGAGUGUAGCAUUUCUGAGGACGUUCCAAGGUGUGUUUUGUGCAUGUACGUGUGAAUACUCUGAAUGGGGGAUGGUAGGUUGAGGUCACUUGAACUCAAAAACAUGUUUUUGUGUUUCUCAUCUCUAAAUGCUGCUAAAUGCACUUAUCCAUUCACUCAGAACUCCAUGCAUACAGGUGCUAAAUUUACAUUGUACAUAUUACAUUUAUUUGUAUAGUUUUAGGUAUAUUUUUUGUGUCAUUUGGCUUAAAAGUUUAGAAUGGAAACCCAUUUUCUGCUUACUUCCUGCUGUUCAUAAUAAGAGGAAGUGACUCUGGUCAUAGGGGGCUCUGAGGGAGAUACCACACUUUAGCAAUGUCCCCGCUGUCAAUCUCACAAUGAUUUUGUGUGUAGCUUGGCACAUGCAUAUACUUAGUGAGUGUGUGUGUGUGUGUGUGUGUGUGUGUGUGUGUGUGUGUGUGUGUGUGUGUGUGUGUGUGUGUGUGUGUACGUCCUCCAAUCCUCUCUGGUCUCCUCCUCCUAAAAACAGAAACACAAUAGCCCCUAUGAGAGAAAAAGAGAAGUGCUCACAUUGUGAGCAGCCAACUUUCCUUGUGGAUUUGGAAACAAAGAAAAGAUGGAGAGAGACAAUGGAGACAGUCAAUGUAGUCAAACAGAGUGGCACACCUCUACAGCAGAAAAGAGAGAUAAAAUCAAAUGGCUCAUUUACAUGAAAGGUCUGUGGACAAUACUGCUUCUGCCUGCAUAUGAAAAUCACACUCUGGCUCUCAGAGGAGCCAGGCUCCAUUAUAGAAAAUGAAUGGAUGGUUCACUUCAAAGUGUGCUCAGCAACAGCCCAUUAACUGAUCCAAAUGAGAUCCAACUAAGACCAAAUUCAUUAUUGUUAACUCCAAAGAUUUUACUGCCAAUUAUGUGGCACAUUUACUCAAUUUAUUUGCAACCUUUAUUUGUGCUCUUUAAAAGAAUGAAGCAUGACAAGACAACACCGGUCGACAUUAACUUGUGUAGUUUUUGCAUAACUACUAAAUUUGUGCAGUGGAACAAAACAAACAUGGAAAAACAUGGAAAAAAGGAUUAGUUCACUUUCAAAUGAAAAUUACACCAAGAUUUAGUCACCCUCAAGCCAUCAAAGGUGUAUAUGACUUUCUUCUUUCUGAUGAACA